rnacentral:rRNA from 1 species
GUUCGAUCCUGGCUCAGGAUGAACGCUGGCGGCGCGCCUAACACAUGCAAGUCGAACGGCACCUAUCUUCGGAUAGAAGCGAGUGGCGAACGGCUGAGUAACACGUGGAGAACCUGCCCCCUCCCCCGGGAUAGCCGCCCGAAAGGACGGGUAAUACCGGAUACCCCGGGGUGCCGCAUGGCACCCCGGCUAAAGCCCCGACGGGAGGGGAUGGCUCCGCGGCCCAUCAGGUAGACGGCGGGGUGACGGCCCACCGUGCCGACAACGGGUAGCCGGGUUGAGAGACCGACCGGCCAGAUUGGGACUGAGACACGGCCCAGACUCCUACGGGAGGCAGCAGUGGGGAAUCUUGCGCAAUGGGGGGAACCCUGACGCAGCGACGCCGCGUGCGGGACGGAGGCCUUCGGGUCGUAAACCGCUUUCAGCAGGGAAGAGUCAAGACUGUACCUGCAGAAGAAGCCCCGGCUAACUACGUGCCAGCAGCCGCGGUAAUACGUAGGGGGCGAGCGUUAUCCGGAUUCAUUGGGCGUAAAGCGCGCGUAGGCGGCCCGGCAGGCCGGGGGUCGAAGCGGGGGGCUCAACCCCCCGAAGCCCCCGGAACCUCCGCGGCUUGGGUCCGGUAGGGGAGGGUGGAACACCCGGUGUAGCGGUGGAAUGCGCAGAUAUCGGGUGGAACACCGGUGGCGAAGGCGGCCCUCUGGGCCGAGACCGACGCUGAGGCGCGAAAGCUGGGGGAGCGAACAGGAUUAGAUACCCUGGUAGUCCCAGCCGUAAACGAUGGACGCUAGGUGUGGGGGGACGAUCCCCCCGUGCCGCAGCCAACGCAUUAAG